CCUCCUUUCUCCCACAUCUAACUCUCUCUCUCUGACUAAAUCUCCCCCUCUCUCUCUCCGCCGAAGUUCGGCCACGGCGUCACCGGCGAGGAUGCCGGCAGCUGGGGCGUCUCCCUCCCUCUUCGUCCUCUCUCUCCCGGUCUCUCCUUCUCUCUCGGUCUCUCUCUGUUUCUCGACCGACGGAGCUCGGCUGCCUCCGGAGAGGAGCCUCCGUUGCCGGCGUCCGCCCGUCACUCGAUCUCUGCCGCCUCGUCCAUUUUCAAUGUCGGGGUGCGGUCGGCUCGCCGGUGUGCGCGAGACCAGCCGCCGUUGACUUGCGGGCGUUGGGCAGUGGCGGAAGUGGCGAAGAAGAAAGCUGAGGGGCAGCAGCGGUGGCUGCCACCGUGUGACAGCAGCGGCGUCGGCGUGUACGGCUGCCAAACGGAGCAGCUGUGUGCGUGUGGCUGUCGAGAGUGCAGCAAGGUGUGCGUGGCUGCCUUGUGACUGCAGCAGCGGCUGCCCGGCAGAGGCAGCAGCGGCAUCGUCCGGCAGGGGCAUCGGCUUUAUUAAUUCUAAGCUAUACUCUCAUCUUGAGGUUUCAAACUUAACACCUUCUUGUCUAUAAUGUCUUAUGCCUUGUUAACUUUAGAAGAGAAGCAUGUAAUGGCUUUAAUUCAUUAGAUUAAUUGUCAUGAAAGGGGUAUUGCAAUAGUAUUGACUAAGAGUCCUACGUUCAAAGUCUAAAUUGAGCGUGAAAUUGUGAGAAAAGUCGGUCUAUUGAUGUUGAUAAAGAUGAGAAUCAUUGGAAGAAUUCUACUAACAUGGUGUGAUGGAAAAAGAAUAGUAAAUGUGAUGCAAAGCUUAGGAAAUCAAAAUGGUUUAGAGGUGGAUACCUUGAGGAAAAUAUGGAAGCAAGGUAGUGUGUAGAAACUUGACUUCCUUCUUCAAGCACUUACUUGCAUCCUCACCAUGAGAUAAAUUUUUGUUUAGGGAUUUUGUGGAA